rnacentral:rRNA from 1 species
AUUGAACGCUGGCGGCAGGCUUAACACAUGCAAGUCGAGCGGGGAAGGUUGCUUCGGUAACUGACCUAGCGGCGGACGGGUGAGUAAUGCUUAGGAAUCUGCCAUUUAGUGGGGGACAACAUUCCGAAAGGAAUGCUAAUACCGCAUACGUCCUACGGGAGAAAGCAGGGGAUCUUCGGACCUUGCGCUAAAUGAUGAGCCUAAGUCGGAUUAGCUAGUUGGUGGGGUAAAGGCCUACCAAGGCGACGAUCUGUAGCGGGUCUGAGAGGAUGGUCCGCCACACUGGGACUGAGACACGGCCCAGACUCCUACGGGAGGCAGCAGUGGGGAAUAUUGGACAAUGGGCGGAAGCCUGAUCCAGCCAUGCCGCGUGUGUGAAGAAGGCCUUAUGGUUGUAAAGCACUUUAAGCGAGGAGGAGGCUACCUAGAUUAAUACUCUAGGAUAGUGGACGUUACUUGCAGAAUAAGCACCGGCUAACUCUGUGCCAGCCGCCGCCGUAAAAC